GGGGCUGUAGUCUAGGAAGGUAUGACGACGGGCUCCAGACCCGUAGGUCGUCGGUUCAAAUCCGACCAGCCCCACCA
rnacentral:tRNA from 1 species